rnacentral:rRNA from 1 species
UAUUGGUCAAUGGCCGAGAGGCUGAACCAGCCAAGUCGCGUGAGGGAUGAAGGUUCUAUGGAUCGUAAACCUCUUUUAUAAGGGAAUAAAGUGCGGGACGUGUCCCGUUUUGUAUGUACCUUAUGAAUAAGGAUCGGCUAACUCCGUGCCAGCAGCCGCGGUAAUACGGAGGAUCCGAGCGUUAUCCGGAUUUAUUGGGUUUAAAGGGUGCGUAGGCGGCCUUUUAAGUCAGCGGUGAAAGUCUGUGGCUCAACCAUAGAAUUGCCGUUGAAACUGGGGGGCUUGAGUAUGUUUGAGGCAGGCGGAAUGCGUGGUGUAGCGGUGAAAUGCAUAGAUAUCACGCAGAACUCCGAUUGCGAAGGCAGCUUACUAAACCAUAACUGACACUGAAGCACGAAAGCGUGGGGAUCAAACAGGAUUAGAUACCCUGGUAGUCCACGCAGUAAACGAUGAUCACUAGCUGUUUGCGAUACACUGUAAGCGGCACAGCGAAAGCGUUAAGUGAUCCACCUGGGGAGUACGCCGGCAACGGUGAAACUCAAAGGAAUUGACGGGGGCCCGCACAAGCGGAGGAACAUGGGGUUUAAUUCGAUGAUACGCGAGGAACCUUACCCGGGUUUGAACGCAUUCGGACCGAGGUGGAAACACCUUUUCUAGCAAUAGCCGUUUGCGAGGUGCUGCAUGGUUGUCGUCAGCUCGUGCCGUGAGGUGUCGGCUUAAGUGCCAUAACGAGCGCAACCCUUGCCACUAGUUACUAACAGGUAAAGCUGAGGACUCUGGUGGGACUGCCAGCGUAAGCUGCGAGGAAGGCGGGGAUGACGUCAAAUCAGCACGGCCCUUACAUCCGGGGCGACACACGUGUUACAAUGGCGUGGACAAAGGGAGGCCACCUGGCGACAGGGAGCGAAUCCCCAAACCACGUCUCAGUUCGGAUCGGAGUCUGCAACCCGACUCCGUGAAGCUGGAUUCGCUAGUAAUCGCGCAUCAGCCAUGGCGCGGUGAAUACGUUCCCGGGCCUUGUACACACCGCCCGUCAAGCCAUGGGAGCCGGGGGUACCUGAAGUCCGUAACCGAAAGGAUCGGCCUAGGGUAAAACUGGUGACUGGGGCUAAGUCGUAACAAGGUAGCCGUACCGGAAGGUGCGGCUG